GGAGAAGUGGACAGGAAGAGUAAGGCCCUCGGAUCACUCCAGCAUCUGCAAAGCCCACGUUUCCCGGCCCUGCACUGUGAGAUAGCCUCAGCUCAGAAACCAGCGUGUGGGGUCACAUCGCCCGGCAACGAUGAUUUGUGGAACGCUAGAAUUCUCCACAUGCAAAUCUAGUUUGCCUUAAAGUAAAGAGAUAGCUAUACCUAGGAAAUGUAUACACACAGCGCAAGUAUAUUUGAGAAGCUGAGGAGAAUCUGCAACCGCGAGGAGAAAACCACUCCGAGCCACCCCACGAGCGAGCGAAGGUCUUGGAACCAGAGAGAAAGGAAAGGAAGAGACACACGUAGAGAGCAUGUGUUACCUGGUUUAUUUCAAGAUUGUUUGAUACCGUGUUCUCUCUGGGCUCCUCUCAUUUCGGAAGGCCAUCAGAGGCGCCCACCACUGAGCCGCCCCUGCCCGCAGCCGCAGCCCCCGGAGCCCAGGGCCCGGCUUCCCCGCGGCGCUGCAGCCCGAGCUCGCCGCCUCCCGGGCCCAGGAACCGAGUAAGUAACCCCUGCUCGGCCCAGCGCGGCCCGCUCACUUCCUCCUCCUCCUCCUCUUCCCAAAGGCCCAAACCUCUCCCCACCGCCUCCUCCAAGGUUAGGGCGCCCCUCGGCACACACGCCCGGGCUGGGCCUCCCGCGCCCUGGGCGCACAGCUCCGGCUGGAACCGCACCUUAGACAAGGGGCCCAAUUUUGCUGCGGGCUCAGAAAUGCCAGCGCCAGGCCUGCAGGGCCGACUCAGAAAGUAGUGCCUGGCCUCUUCCUCCUCCAUUUCCAGCUCUCGGCUCGCAUCCUCUCCCUGCACUCCCACUCUUCCCUCCACCACCCUUCCAUCACCACCACCCCCGCUUUUAAAAAUAAAAUUGGAUACAAACUUUAAUCAAUAAGGACAAAUAUUGACGCUCAAGCGCAAAUGGCCCAACACAAUGAGAAGGACGCCGACAGUGUGAGCUAUCUAUCUGCCCUAGGAGAGGGGGUUCGGUGGAACGGAGCCGACGGGGCGCAGGGAGUGGCGGGGUGCAGAGCGGGGCUGCGGAGCGGCUGCUCCCCGGAGUAUCCGUGCGCGGCUCCGCGGGUCCGAGCCCCGCGCGCGGAGGGGGCGGUGAGCGCCCGAGGGGGCGGCAGCCGCAGGCGGGGCAGGGGUGGGUGGGCCCGGCCCCUCCGAUUGGUGGACGGCUACACAGACGCUCCCGAACGCCGCCGGCUCUGAUUGGCCCAGCGGUAGGAAAGGUUAAACCAAAAAUUUUUUUACAGCCCUAGUGUGCGCCUGUAGCUCGGAAAAUUAAUUGUGGCUAUAGCCGCCUCGAUCGCUGUCUCCCCAGCCUCGCCGCGGCCGCUCCGGGACGCGCCCGCCCGCCGCCUGGCUGUCCCCCCCUUUGGGCUGCUGCGGUGCUGCG
rnacentral:lncRNA from 1 species